rnacentral:rRNA from 1 species
UACGUAGGGGGCAAGCGUUGUCCGGAUUUAUUGGGCGUAAAGAGCGUGUAGGCGGCCAUGUAGGUCCGUUGUGAAAACUCGAGGCUCAACCUCGAGACGCCGGUGGAAACUGCAAAGCUAGAGUCCGGAAGAGGAGAGUGGAAUUCCCGGUGUAGUGGUGAAAUGCGUAGAUAUCGGGAGGAACACCAGUGGCGAAGGCGGCUUCUGGCCCGUUCUUGACGCUGAGGC